rnacentral:lncRNA from 1 species
CAAAAAUUAGUAAUUUAAAUAAGGUAUUAAUUACCAUAAAUGUUACCGUUGCCACAUGGGGAAUUAGAAAAUCUAUUCUUUUUGGGCAGUGACGGGUAGGUGAAGGCUACCCGUUUUCUUCAGACUUUUCGUAUCCCGCUUCCUUCCCAUUAUCUAUUUCGGUCUCAUUUCAAUAUUUCCUCUCAUUCUUUUUCGUGAGAGGGAGAAACCCAAAGAUUUUGUCUGCCGUUUCUUUUUUUUUUCUUUGGUGAUAUUGAAAUCCCCUGUUUUCGCUCUGUGUUUGGAAUCUAUCGAUGUCGGUCUGUCUGUUUCUUUUUGGUUGCUUUGCCGGAGACUGAUUUCGGGUAUGGAUCUUUACUUGUGUUUGCUUUUUCAUUUCUGUCUUUCUCUUUGUCUUUUGCCUUUUCAGUUCUAUUUUUAGUUUUAGAACUAUGUUUUUUUACUUCUAUUUCAGUUGGUUUACUUUAUUAUUAUUAGUUUUCAGGUUUAGACAUCACUGUUUCUUUAUGUGUUUCAAGUCUAUUGAUUUCAUUCUGGUUGUUUUAUUGAUCUCUUCCUCUAUAUGCAUACUGCGAUGCAAACUCAGAACCCUAAACCUUAAAUCAUAAACUUUAAACUCUAAAACCCUAAACCUUAAAAUCCAAACCCUAAACAAUUCAGGGAUUUCCGAUUCCUAUUCUCGCUUGGCAUAAGCAAUUCAGGGAUAUCCCAUUCAUAUCCUGUCCCGGUCCAGAAUCUUAGCUGCCGGGUUGGAUAGUUUCGUGACCGGUUCAGAUAAUUUAUGUCUCUGAAUCGGGUAACCUACCUCUCUUAUCCCCGGUCGAGAGAUCCUAAUCCACGGAUAUUCCCAUUCGGGCAUAUCCUGAUUUUCGAUAUCCUAGGUGGGGAUAUCUCAUUCUAUCAAUAUCCAAA